rnacentral:tRNA from 1 species
GGGAAGGUGGCUCAGGGGUAGAGUGCUUGCCUUGCAUGCAAGAGGCCCUAGGUUUGAUUCCUCAGUACCA